rnacentral:rRNA from 1 species
GAUGAACGCUGGCGGCGUGCCUAAUACAUGCCAGUCGAGCGAACAGACGAGGAGCUUGCUCCUCUGACGUUAGCGGCGGACGGGUGAGUAACACGUGGAUAACCUACCUAUAAGACUGGGAUAACUUCGGGAAACCGGAGCUAAUACCGGAUAAUAUAUUGAACCGCAUGGUUCAAUAGUGAAAGACGGUUUUGCUGUCACUUAUAGAUGGAUCCGCGCCGCAUUAGCUAGUUGGUAAGGUAACGGCUUACCAAGGCGACGAUGCGUAGCCGACCUGAGAGGUGGAUCGGCCACACUGGAACUGAGACACGGUCCAGACUCCUACGGGAGGCAGCAGGAGGGAAUCUUCCGAAAGGGGCGAAAGCCUGACGGAGCAACGCCGCGUGAGUGAGGAAGGUUUUGGGAUCGUAAAACUCUGUUAUGAGGGAAGAAAAAAUGUGUAAGUAACUGUGCACUUCUUGACGGUACCUAAUCAGAAAGCCACGGCUAACUACGUG